rnacentral:rRNA from 1 species
AUUGAACGCUGGCGGAAUGCUUUACACAUGCAAGUCGAACGGCAGCACGGACUUCGGUCUGGUGGCGAGUGGCGAACGGGUGAGUAAUGUAUCGGAACGUGCCCAGUCGUGGGGGAUAACGUAGUGAAAAUUACGCUAAUACCGCAUACGAUCUAUGGAUGAAAGCGGGGGAUCGCAAGACCUCGCGCGAUUGGAGCGGCCGAUAUCAGAUUAGGUAGUUGGUGGGGUAAAGGCCCACCAAGCCAACGAUCUGUAGCUGGUCUGAGAGGACGACCAGCCACACUGGAAGUGGGGCACGGUCCAGACUCCUACGGGAGGCAGCAGUGGGGAAUUUUGGACAAUGGGCGAAAGCCUGAUCCAGCCAUUCCGCGUGCAGGAUGAAGGCCCUCGGGUUGUAAACUGCUUUUGUACAGAACGAAAAGGUUUCUACUAAUACUAGGAGCUCAUGACGGUACUGUAAGAAUAAGCACCGGCUAACUACGUGCCAGCAGCCGCCGUAA